rnacentral:rRNA from 1 species
AGUGAACGCUGGCGGCGUGCUUAACACAUGCAAGUCGAACGAGAACGGAAUAUAGCUUGCUAUAUUUGUCAACUAAGUGGCGCACGGGUGAGUAAUGUAUAGAUAACCUGCCCUUAAGAAAGGAAUAACAGUUGGAAACGACUGCUAAUGCCCUAUAUGCCUUUAAUACAUAAGUAUGCAAGGGAAACGCUUUAGUGCUUAAGGAUGGGUCUGUAUGGUAUCAGCUUGUUGGUGAGGUAAUGGCUCACCAAGGCUAUGACGCCUAACUGGUUUGAGAGGAUGAGCAGUCACACGGGAACUGAGACACGGUCCAGACUCCUACGGGAGGCAGCAGUGGGGAAUAUUGCACAAUGGACGAAAGUCUGAUGCAGCAACGCCGCGUGGAGGAUGACACAUUUCGGUGCGUAAACUCCUUUUAUAUAGGAAGAUAAUGACGGUACUAUAUGAAUAAGCACCGGCUAACUCCGUGCCAGCAGCCGCCGUAA